rnacentral:lncRNA from 1 species
AGAGUACAUGCAUGGCUUCCUGUUUUGGUCUGAUAGCUUCCCCUGAGCUUUCAUAGAUGCAAGAUUACCCAAUGCAAAAGAGAAGAGUGUCCAAUAUGAUGAGGAGGUUUUGAGUUUGGUUAUUAAGAGAAUAAAUUGUUAACAGAAAUAAGAUCAUACCUGGAAGACAAUAUGAAGCCGUCCAAUGGACAGUCAGUGAUCCACACGCAGACUCUGGCCACACUUUGACCCCCACCUUUACCAAGGCCAGACCUUGUAUUGUCCAAUUUUAGGAUGGAGAUGGUGGCCAACGAAUCACAUCAGCUGUAGAUGGGCAGGUGUGUGUCCAGAUAGUAAAUUGAAGCCUCUAAAGAAUGUUUGUUUUACAACGGAGGAUACAGUUCUGAAUGGAGCAGGUUAUUACAGAACAUCGAAUAGACCUUCCUGUAAUAUACAUGGAGGAAACCGAGGCAAAGAAUACCAACUUGGAAGUUCCUGUUGUGGCACAGAGGAAAGUAAUCCGACCACUCUGCAUGAGGAUGCAAUUUCCAUCCCUGGCUGCACUCAGUGGGAUGGGGAUCCAGCAUUGCCUUGAGCUGUGAGGUAGGUCGAAGACGGGGCUCGGAUCCUGUGUUGCUGGGGCUGUGGUGUAGGCCAGCAGCUGCAGCUGCAAUUCAACCCCUAGCCUGGGAACUUCCACAUGCUGCAGGUUCAGCAAAAAAGAAAAAAAAAAAGAACAACAAAAAAAAGAAAUACUAAUUUACAUCCUCAGGGUCACACAGUUGGUAAGUAGCAGGUGGGAUUCAAGUCCAGGCAUCUACACCAGAGUCUGUGUUCUGAAGGUUGAUGUGUUUUUCUCUCCCUGUUGUAGGCUUCUAGAAGGUAGAAACUUCCUUUUCCAGCUAUAGAGUAGAAAUGGCCCUAGUUUCAGAGGCACACAUGCCUGGAUUCUGGAUUUGAAUUCUGAGAAUUCAUAAUUUGCUGUAAAUUGGCUUUCAAAAAAAAGUCCUGAUUUAUUUCUUUUCAUUUUUUUAAAAGUUUUUAUUUUACCCAUAGCAUAUAGAAGUUCCUGGGCCAGGGACUGAAUCCGAGCCAUAGCUAUGACCUGAGGCACUAUAGUCAGGUUCUUAACCCUCUGUGCCGCAGCAGGAACUCCUGCUUUGCAUGUUUUAAAUACUCCUGAUGUGACUGAUUUUAAGUUACUUGCAAUUUAACUGGCUUGCAAAAUUCCUGGAAUUCUAAUCAUCAGCUCUUGCAAGCUGAUAUGAGACAGCUCCAGCAUCACGGUUGGAGGAUCGGCAACUUGCUGAUUUUGUUCAAACUUGGGUCACCAUCAUCUAGAACAGCACCUGGCAUGUGGUGGUUGCUCAUUCACAUUUAUUAAGUGAAGGAAUGAGAAUGUCCCAGCCUCUCAUACUCUCAGUUUAGGGUAUCAGUCAAAUAUUCAUACCAGUAGUAUCUGUUGGGUUGCUGAGUACAUCCAAUGUUAACUGAAAAAAUGUCUUCAAAAUACCCAACCAAAUGCUUGGCACGUAAUGGAAACUACUUGUUAAAUUCUGUCCUUUUGGAUUACUCCUCCUUACAAGGUAUCUUCUACUUAGAGGACUGCAUUAAGUGAGUGAAUGAACAAGUGAAGAAUUGAAUGCAUUGGUAAGAAGCAUCAGUUUCAAAUAGGAAAGGGUGAUUUUACCUUUAUCAAUGUGUAAUGGAUGGAAGUAUGUGGCUUCGCCAUAAUUUUUUUUUCCUUUUUAGGGCUACAACAAUGGCAUAUGGAAGUUUCUAGGCUAGGGCUCGAAUCAGAGCCACAGCUGCCAGCUUACACUGCAGCCACAGCAAUGCCAGAUUUGAGCUGCAUCUGCGAUCUACACUGCAGGUCACAGCAACUCCAGAUCCUCAACCCACUGAGAGAGGCCAGGGAUUGAACCUGCAUCUUUAUGGAUACUAGUCAGGUUCUUAACUCACUGAGCUACAAUGGGAACUCUGACUUCAUAAUUUUAAAGGUCAUUUUUGCCUUAGCCCAGGAAUGUGAAUUCAAAGGCCAACAGAGGCCACACUGUUAAAUGAUUAAAAUAUGCUCAAGGGGAAGAAAGUUGGGAAUGAAUGGGAUUGAGACAAACUGGAGAUCACACACCCGCCAUACAGGCACACAAAUUUAAAAGGUUUUAGAUUUCUGUGUGAGCCAAAUAAAAGAUGUCUUGUACUAGGUAUGGCUCAUGGGCCUUCAGCAUUCCACUGUUGCUUUCGGAAUGUAAAAAGCAUGGACUCUGAGGCCAAACACUGGCCUGAAAUUUGAAAUCUGGUUGUGCUGGUUACCAGCUAGUGGUCCUAAGGCAAGACAAUUGACUUCAACUCCCUGCCACCAUAUCCAAGAGAUGCCCCUGCCCCUGCAGUGCUAGCCCAGAGGAAGGAGGUCCAGAGGUCAGCUGAAGGACAAGGACCAGGCCAGCCAUGCAUACACUGAACUGUUAAUCACCAGGUAACUCCCAGCAAGAGGUAGGGAGGUAAGGGGCAGUUUUGCUUGACUCCUUUUCUUCUGCAUAUAGCCAGGAGGAAAAAAUUUCUCCAUGCUGUUAUUGGAUACCCUCUAGUAAAAUAACCAGUUCUCAAACUUAGAUGCCCAUUAGAAUCAUAUGGAGAAUUAAUAAGUAGUGAUUCUUGCAUUGCAAGCCCUAUAUUUUGAUGUAAUUGAUCUGGGGAUGGGGUGGGGGUAUGACCUGGGCAUCAGGUGAUUCUAACGUACAGCACUGUUGAAGAAAUAGUCCUGGACUCCCUGGUGGCUCAGCGGGUUAGGAUCUGGCAUCUGGCAUUGUCACUACUGUGGCUCUGGUUACUUCUGUGGCAUGUUUUGUUUGUUUUUGGUUUUUUUGCUAGGGGUCUAAUCAGAGCUACAGCUGCCAGCUACAGCCACAGCCACAGCCACAGCCAUGACAGAUCCGAGUCUCGUCUGCAACCUCAUGGUUCCUAGUCAGAUUAGUUUCUCCUGUGCCACGAUGGGAACUCCAUGUGGCAUGGGUUUGAUUCCAUGCCAAGGAACUUCCGAAUGCUCCCAAUGUAGAUAAAAGAAAGAGAGUAAGAGAGAACGA